GACGAACGCUGGCGGCGUGCUUAACACAUGCAAGUCGUACGGUAAGGCCCUUUCGGGGGUACACGAGUGGCGAACGGGUGCGUAACACGUGAGUAACCUGCCCACAACUUUGGGAUAACGCUAGGAAACUGGUGCUAAUACUGGAUAUGUGCUCCUGCUGCAUGGUGGGGGUUGGAAAGCUCCGGCGGUUGUGGAUGGACUCGCGGUCUAUCAGCUUGUUGGUGGGGUAGUGGCCUACCAAGGCGGCGACGGGUAGCCGGCCUGAGAGGGUGACCGGCCACAUUGGGACUGGGAUACGGCCCAGACUCCUACGGGAGGCAGCAGUGGGGAAUAUUGCACAAUGGGCGCAAGCCUGAUGCAGCAACGCCGCGUGCGGGAUGACGGCCUUCGGGUUGUAAACCGCUUUCAGCAGGGACGAAGCUUUUUGUGACGGUACCUGCAGAAGAAGCACCGGCUAACUACGUG
rnacentral:rRNA from 1 species